rnacentral:rRNA from 1 species
CCUANGGGGGGCAGCAGUAAGGAAUCUUCCACAAUGGGGGCAACCCUGAUGGAGCAAUGCCGCGUGCAGGAUGAAGCGUUUCGGCGUGUAAACUGCUUUUGUCACCGACGAUUAUGACGGUAGGUGAAGAAUAAGGACCGGCUAACUACGUGCCAGCAGCCGCGGUAAUACGUAGGGUCCAAGCGUUAUCCGGAAUUACUGGGCGUAAAGCGUCUGUAGGCGGCUUUUCAAGUCGGGUGUGAAAUCUUACGGCUCAACCGUAUAGACUGUGCCCGAAACUGAUCGGCUAGAGGUAGGUAGAGGCAAGUGGAAUUUCUGGUGUAGGAGUGACAUCCGUAGAUAUCAGAAGGAACACCAAUGGCGAAGGCAGCUUGCUGGGCCUUACCUGACGCUCAGAGACGAAAGCGUGGGGAGCGAACGGGAUUAGAUACCCCUNUANUC